UACGAGGGGGGCGAGCGUUGUUCGGAAUUAUUGGGCGUAAAGGGUGCGUAGGCGGCCUGACAAGUCUGAUGCGAAAUCCCUGGGCUCAACCCAGGGCCUGCAUCGGAAACUGUCGGGCUUGAGUAUGGGAGAGGUGAGUGGAAUUUCCGGUGUAGCGGUGAAAUGCGUAGAUAUCGGAAGGAACACCUGUGGCGAAAGCGGCUCACUGGACCAUUACUGACGCUGAGGCACGAAAGCUAGGGGAGCAAACAGG
rnacentral:rRNA from 1 species